UACGAGGGGGGCAAGCGUUGUUCGGAAUUAUUGGGCGUAAAGGGUGCGUAGGCGGUCUGAUAAGUCAUCUGUGAAAUCUAUGGGCUCAACCCAUAGUCUGCAGGCGAAACUGUCGGGCUUGAGUAUGGGAGAGGUGAGUGGAAUUCCUGGUGUAGCGGUGAAAUGCGUAGAUAUCAGGAGGAACACCUGUGGCGAAAGCGGCUCACUGGACCAUAACUGACGCUGAUGCACGAAAGCUAGGGGAGCAAACAGG
rnacentral:rRNA from 1 species